AUUGAACGCUGGCGGCAUGCCUUACACAUGCAAGUCGAACGGCAGCACGGGAGCAAUCCUGGUGGCGAGUGGCGAACGGGUGAGUAAAGUAUCGGAACGUGCCCAGUCGUGGGGGAUAACGUAGCGAAAGUUACGCUAAUACCGCAUACGAUCUAUGGACGAAAGCGGGGGAUCGCAAGACCUCGCGCGAUUGGAGCGGCCGAUAUCAGAUUAGGUAGUUGGUGGGGCAAAGGCUCACCAAGCCGACGAUCUGUAGCUGGCCUGAGAGGACGACCAGCCACACUGGGACUGAGACACGGCCCAGACUCCUACGGGAGGCAGCAGUGGGGAAUUUUGGACAAUGGGCCAAAGCCUGAUCCAGCCAUGCCGCGUGCAGGAUGAAGGCCUUCGGGUUGUAAACUGCUUUUGUACGGAACGAAAAGGUUUGGCCUAAUAAGCUGAGCUCAUGACGGUACCGUAAGAAUAAGCACCGGCUAACUACGUGCCAGCCGCCGCCGUAA
rnacentral:rRNA from 1 species